GCUGCCUUCUUCAUGAUGCAGCAACAUCAGUGACCAGGGUGCUACUAAUAAGUGCCCUGUCACAGUGAACGGUCUAUACUACAAAGAAAUUAAUCCUAUUUUUGACUGGCUGCCAUUGAUCUGAAUAAAUGCUGCACGAUGAUGCAAGGACUGUGGAGCAGCAAUGGACUACACUGAAAACAGGACUUUCAAACUCUUGGCUCUGUAGCCGCAAGGUCCAGGUAUUAGUUCCAGAUUGCAGAUGGGGGAAACUGCGAUACAGACCCUCAUCCUGCAAAGAGCCCUGCAUGGACAGCCUCAGUGUCUGCCCAGAGCUGCAUUGACUUCAGUGAGGCGUCACAUGGGUGCAGGAGUCUAUUGCAGGAUAGACUGGGGCCUUAGUUUCUGUUGCUUCGCAGAUCAGUAUUUCUCAGCUUGCAUAGUGAGAGGAGAGAUCAGUCUGUCCUUUGUUGUCCUAUUAAAAUAAACGAGACAGUACAUUGUUAAAAAACUGGCCUUUUAUUGAUGCCGGGCCCCAGCCCACUGAAUCAUUGCUAAUCUUUCUCAAUUGCCAAGCUGCGGAACUC